rnacentral:rRNA from 1 species
CUAGGGAACUCGGCAAAUUGGCCCCGUAACUUCGGGAGAAGGGGUGCCUGCGGUCCUGGUCUGAUGGCUGGGACCGUAGGUCGCAGUGACAAGGGGGAUCCGACUGUUUAAUAAAAACACAGGUCCCCGCAAGCCCGAAAGGGUGUGUACGGGGGCUGAAUCCUGGCCACUGGCGGUACGUGAAACCCGGGUACAACCGGGCGAAGCGCCGCUAAAGGCCGGGAGUAACUCUGACUCUCUUAAGGUAGCCAAAUGCCUUGCCGGGUAAGUUCCGGCGUGCAUGAAUGGAUCAACGAGGUCCCCACUGUCCCAGCCCGGGACCCGGCGAACCCGCAACCAGGUGCACAGUCCUGGUACCCCCGGUGGGGCGAGAAGACCCCGUGGAGCUUUACCGCAGCCAGUCGUUGGGGUAUGGUCGUGGGUGCGUAGUGUAAGCGGGAGCAAUGAAACAGCUCUUCCGGGAGCUGUGGAUGCGCCAAUGAAACACCGCUCACUCGCGACUGUAUCCCUUACCCGGCGGAUGCCGGGGACAGCGACUGGUGGGCGGUUUGGCUGGGGCGGCACCCCUCUGAAAACGCAUCAGAGGGGCCCUAAGCUCGGCUCAGGCGGGUCAGAACCCCGCCGUAGAGGGCAAGGCCAAAAGCCGGGCUGACUGCGCCCUUGAACGCAAGGGGCGCAGGGGGGAAACCCGGGCCUAGCGAACGCUCGUGUCCCCCUUGGUGGGGGCCGGGCAUGACAGAAAAGUUACCCCGGGAAUAACCGGCUUGUCGCGGGCAAGAGUUCACAUCGACCCCGCGGUUUGGUACCCAGACGUCGUCUCUCCCUAUCCUGGCCGUGCAGCAGCGGCCAAGGGUGGGGCUGCUCGCCCAUUAAAAGGGAACGUGAGAUGGGUUUAGACCGUCGCGAGACAGGUCGGACUCUACCUGCCGGGGGCGCUGGCCGCCUGAGGGGAAGGUCCGCCUAGUACGAGAGGAACGGCGGGCCGCGGCCUCUAGUCUACCGGUUGUCCGGCAGGGCAGCGCCGGGCAGCCACGCCGUAAGGGAUAAGGGCUGAAGGCAUCUAAGCCCGAAGCCCUCCCCGAGACGAGGCGGCCAUUCCCGGUCCGUUGGGGGUCGG